rnacentral:rRNA from 1 species
UACAGAGGUCUCAAGCGUUGUUCGGAUUCAUUGGGCGUAAAGGGUGCGUAGGCGGCGCGGUAAGUCGGGUGUGAAAUCUCGGAGCUUAACUCCGAAACUGCAUUCGAUACUGCCGUGCUUGAGGACUGGAGAGGAGACUGGAAUUUACGGUGUAGCGGUGAAAUGCGCAGAUAUCGGGAGGAACACCAGUGGCGAAGGCGGCACUCUGGGCCGGAACUGACGCUGAGGAGCGAAAGCGUGGGGAGCAAACAGG